UUGCGGUAAAAGCUCGUAGUUGGAUUUCUGUUGAGGGCGACCGGUCCACACCACGUGUGCGCAUCUGGCUUCGACCUCGGCAUCCUCUCGUUGAAUCGUUUCUGCGCUUCAUUGCGUGGAGCGGAUCGCGGGACCUUUACUUUGAGGAAAUUAGAGUGUUCACGGCAGGCUAUCGCCAGAAUACAUUAGCAUGGAAUAAUACUAUAGGAUCACGGUUCUAUUUUGUUGGUUUCUAGAAUUGUGAUAAUGAUUAAUAGGGACAAUUGGGGGCAUUCGUAUCAACACGUCAGAGGUGGAAUUCUUGGAUUGUGUUGCGACGAACUACUGCGAAAGCAUUUGCCAAGGAUGUUUUCAUUGAUCAAGAACGAAAGUAAGGGGAUCGAAGACGAUUAGAUACCGUCGUAGUCUUUACCAUAAACUAUGCCAACUAGAGAUGAGGCAUCGUUCACUUACGACUUGCUUCGCACCUUAUGAGAUAUCAAAGUUUUUGGGUUCCGGGGGGAGUAUGGUCGCAAGAUUGAAACUUAAAGGAAUUGACGGAAGGGCACCACCAGGAGUGGAGCCUGCGGCUUAAUUUGACUCAACACGGGGAAACUCACCAGGUCCAGACAUAAUAAGGAUUGACAGAUUGAUAGCUCUUUCUUGAUUUUAUGGGUGGUGGUGCAUGGCCGUUCUUAGUUCGUGGAGUGAUUUGUCUGCUUAAUUGCGUUAACGAACGAGACCUUAACCUGCUAAAUAGAAGCGGCUAUCUUCGGAUAACCGCCUUUCUUCUUAGAGGGACUGUAC
rnacentral:rRNA from 1 species